AGGGCCGUAUCCACGCGGAAUGGCACCAGGAUGUGUUUUGUUGUUGUCAGUGAAAAAAUAUUUGAAUCUGCUCUGAGCCGAUGAGGACCGAGACAGAGGA
rfam:Aneurinibacillus sp. XH2, complete genome.